CAGCGUUAUGCCCAUGUGGGCUCAGCCAUUGUGCUCCAUGUUGUUUGGGUUCGUCCACCAUUAUUCACUCAACACAACAAGGUGAGGGACCCCGGAGACCCCUGAGGAUCGUAUCUAGCUCUUGGUGAGAUGCAAGACUUGGCUCGGCGCUGACUUUCUUUGCAAGGACCUAUUGUUCUGCUGCAGAGACACAAGAGGCUUACUGGGACCAACGGAACCCCCCUGCACACCUCCCCUCAGUGAGCUGAAUGAGGAGCAAGUGUGAAGAGUGGAGAGUGAAGAGAUGCUGCUUCAUGACGAAGGACCCAAACAUAGAGCUUUAGCCCUGUUUUGGUCUCCACCAACUCCUGACUCUCUAGCUGCUAAGUCCUCCUCCAAGUGACUAGCAUCUAACUGCUGC